GAGGUGAGGUGAGGUGAGGUGAGGUGAGCUUUUGUGAUACGACUUAGGGUCAAAUUUUGUGGCUAUGAACCAACCAUGUUACUUGUCACUUCUACACGCCCCACUGCUGCCCUACUGUGAGCUAUAGGCCUCUCCAAAACGUCUUAUAGGGUUUAAAUUGAUGGGUCUCUACUCUCCUGAGGAUUUCUAUACAAUCUUUCAGGUAGGGGCUAUCCGGUUUCAACUGUCCCAUGUGCCAUCUUGACCACUCCUCAUGCUCUAUCCUUUCAUCUUUCAGGUGACAGGAAGCUUGAGAUGGUUUGAUUUCUUUUUUUUGAUUCAAAACUUUAGCCACCGAUCGCUCCUUUGGACAUAUUUUCUCAUAUUGUAUUUGAGAACUUAAAAUUUAAAUUUGCAAGAAAUUUAUAAUUUGAGGAAAAAGAAAAAACUCAAUAUAGUUGUACACUUCAUUU